AAAUAUUUCAGCGCCAAUAAAUAUAGUAGCCUUUAGGAUGGUCCAAAUCUGGUAAAAUAUAUCCUUAGCUAAAAUGUUGAUCUAACUAAAGAGAUUUAUAUGUCAAUUUCCAACCAAAAGAUUUAGGCCCUGAAUGGAUGCUGAUUUUCGAUUCAGUUUUUGGAUUUUGAUUUUAGUUUCUAGAUUUUAGAUUUUAGUUUUAGAUUUUUGUUAAUAUAUUUUUGUUUUAAAAACUUCAAAAAAUUAGUUUUUAGUUUUUGAGAAAAAUAACGUUGAUGGAGUAAAAACUAGAUUCCCUAAAUUUUAGAAAAACUAAAAAACUAAAAUCAUGAAUGGAAAAUUACAACAAAAUAGUUUUUCAAAUUGUAGGGAAACCAAAAUUUUAAAAUCUUGAUUGUUAUGAAAAUAAGUUUUUGAAAAACAAAAUCCAAAAACUCUUACAAAAUCUACAAAACAUUCAAGACCUUAUUCUUCUCAGGUUUAUAUCUUAAACAAAACAAAAUCCAAAAUGCUAUUU
rnacentral:sRNA from 1 species